UCGUUUCCGUCUUUCUUCUUGUUCCAGUGGUGAAAUUGAAUGUUUCGACUUUCGAUCCAUGUGGUGUAAAGCAGGAUCAAAUCUCUAAAGUAAGACCACCAUUAAUGGGCAGCCUUCUCCUUCAUCAUCAUCUGUAUCUUCUCCAAAGGAAACUCAGGGAUUUUUAGUUAUAGCUUGAAGGAGAGAAUUAUCCCUUGGUGCUCUAUCAUCAUAAUUUUAGUCUCAAAGGGUCUGAUUAAGGAUUUUUUUUCUUCUCUGGCAUCACUUUCAGGAGUGACAAAUGAGUCAAGUUCGGAAAAGUUCUUGAAGCUGUAUAACCAAGAAGCUCCUGAACUAAUGAAGGUAUUCCAAGGUUAUUUGAAUCACGAAGAGCUACUUCUGAAAUGAGGAUUUGACGAGAUGCUAAUGUAGUGGGCUGGCUUUUGAAGAUGAACUUCUGUUUUUCUUUUUUCUUCCUAUUCAUGGGACCUAAACUGUACUAGUCAAUCAAAUGGCAGAAGAUCAAGUGAAAUUUUAGAACCACGGGUAUGUACAUCCUCUCACUUGACAACCUGUAGCGGAUAGGUAACGUUCUAGUUGGGUAAAAUAUAGUGAUAGAGCUCAUGGUGCUGUCGUUAAGCAUGCUUGAAUUUCUGUUCAUGCUUAGUAGACUCACCGAUGCAUGUCUUCCGUGACUGCGUCAACAUCUGAAUCAUGAGACAGCAUCUGCUCACGGAGGUAGUGGAAUUAGGGGUCCAUAUUAAGCUAAAUGUUCCAUAUGGUAUGUUGAGUUACUGUCAGAAGCUUUGGUACAGAGCAUCACUGAAUUAGAUAGAGCAUAAAUAUCAAUGAGAGCAUUUUGCGCGCGAUCGCACUUAAAGAAAUAAAUAAGGUUCUUCGUUCUGUUUCCCGCUUUCUUCUAUUUCUUGUUCUUGUGGUAGAAGCUGAAAAUGUUUCGAUUCUCACAAGCUCAAAAGGACCACCACCACCAUAAAUGGGCAACUUUCAGCAUCAGCAGCAGCAAGUCGGCAUAUUCUCUUUACAUUUCAAAAUCCGAGUAUUCUCAUUGAAGCUAGGGGUUAGUUCCAUGAUUUGUUCCUUUCUCUACUAGUAAUAAUGUCAGGUCAUCUUCUUCUGAUUCAUUUAUUUGAUUAAUUCAUGUGGAUUAUCUGAAAACGAAGCUAUUAAUGUCUCUCAAAAAGUCGAAUCCAGAAUCCCACAUCCCAACCCAGCUUCAGUUUUAACAUUAUUUGAAAACUAUGAGUUCACUAAACCCCCGCAUUUCAAAACUCAUCACUAAGCUAGCAUCCUUCAUUUCUGGUAUCUGAAAAAAUGAUGGAGUUGGUAUGGAGAUCUAAGUCAAAGAGCAUUUAGGAAAGGUCCCCAUUGUAUGAAGGCUUCUGAAAAGAAGACUACCAUAAUUAUGGAUUUUCUAAUGAAUGAAAUGCGUUAUGAUUCAUUGAGCAUCACAGAAGACUCAGUGAUUUUCAUUUAUAUCUUGAAGGAGGGGAUUAUCCCUAGGGGCACUUUUAUCAGAAUUUUAGUCUCAAAUGGUCUGAUCGAGGAAAAUAUUUCACUUUUCAGAAAAGUUUGUGAAGCUGUAUGAGCAAGAAGCUCCUGCAUUAAUGAAGGUCUUCCAUGGUCAGUUGAAUUAGGUCGAGCUACUUCAGGAAUUAAGGAUUUGGUGAGAUGAUUAUGGCCAUACGGAAGUGGAUCACUGAUUCUAGGAGACGUAUUCUAUUAUUUGCACCACCAAAUGGAGUGGUUAGUCUUUUCUGAAGAGUAUUUUCCAUUCACACAUCAACUGGAGGGAACUUUGAAAGCCAUAAUAAUGGCCUUGAUGGAGAAAUGAUGUUUUUCUUUUAGAUGUUCAUGGGACCUUAACAGAGGUUGAAUCAAAUGACGGAAGAUGGGAGUAAAAGUUUAGAAGCUAUGGGAAUGUUCAUCCUCUCACUUGACAACGUGUAUCUAAGUUGGAUGUGUCGAAAUCAGAACAUGAGCAGCUAUCUCUGCCCAAGGAGGUGAUGGAAAUUGGGGUCUAUAUUGUCAUUUUAAAAACAAUUCUCUCAUUGUAAAGGAGAUGGCAUUUACUGAUGAGUGAUGUGAUGUCUUAAAUGACGAUUGGGACCAAUUUCUAGCCAUCUUGAUUCACCACAAGGCAAAUGUUGGCAGGCAGAAGCACCUUCUUGGUAGUUUCCCACUUACUACCCAUAACACAAUGAAGUUUCUACAGGUGAUGAUUCUCUCCAUGUCCCUCUCACUUCUUCUGCUUCCGUUACUUGUUGCUGAAUCCUCGUCUAGUUCUCCAUCUGAAGUUGAUCAUCAUGGCAGUUCAUCUAUUUCUCCAUCUGGAGUUGAUCAUCAUGGCAGUUCAUCUAUUUCUCCAUCUGGAGUUGAUCAUCAUGGGAGUUCAUCUAUUUCCCCAUCUGGAGUUGAUGGAGUUGAUCAUCACGAUAGUUCGUCUAUUUCUUCAUCUGGAGCUGAUCAUCAUGGCACUUCGUCUAUUUCUCCAUCUGGAGUUGAUCAUCAUAUGAGUCUACUUGACAUAUUUCUAGUCGCACUAAUGGCAUUUCUUGGUCUUGUUGGGCUUUGCUUACUUCUGAUGCUCUGCUUUCCUUGCUGCUGUGUUUGUUGCGCUAUGGUCGCUGUGAUUUGCUCAUUUCUAAUUCUGUUUGGCACAUAUGAGUAUACCUGAGAAAUGCCCAAUCGCAGUAUCCUUUAGAAGAUAUACAUAUUGAAGAUUUAGAUCGUGUGGUAGGAUUUUAAUUCAUCAAUUUAUGUUUUCUGAUUGAAAGGUCUUUUCACUCUUUGUAAGAGUUUAUCUUCCUCAAGUCUAUUGGAAUUACGAAAUUUAUAUAUUCCAUGUUGGGUAAAUGCACUAUCUUAUAGUUAUUCGU